rnacentral:rRNA from 1 species
GUGGGGAAUCUUCCGCAAUGGACGAAAGUCUGACGGAGCAACGCCGCGUGAGUGAUGAAGGUCUUCGGAUUGUAAAGCUCUGUUAAUCGGGACGAAAGAGCCUAGUGUGAAUAAUGCUAGGAAGUGACGGUACCGGAAUAGAAAGCCACGGCUAACUACGUGCCAGCAGCCGCGGUAAUACGUAGGUGGCAAGCGUUGUCCGGAAUUAUUGGGCGUAAAGCGCGCGCAGGCGGAUCUGCCAGUCUGUCUUAAAAGGUCGGGGCUUAACCCCGUGAUGGGAUGGAAACUACAGAUCUAGAGUAUCGGAGAGGAAAGUGGAAUUCCUAGUGUAGCGGUGAAAUGCGUAGAUAUUAGGAAGAACACCAGUGGCGAAGGCGACUUUCUGGACGAAAACUGACGCUGAGGCGCGAAAGCCAGGGGAGCGAACGGGAUUAGAAACCCUUGUAGUCC